rnacentral:tRNA from 1 species
GGCUCCGUAGCUCAAGGGUGGAGCGAGCGACUCAUAAUCGCCUGGUUACAGGUUCGAAUCCUGUCGGAGCCA